rnacentral:lncRNA from 1 species
AUAAUUUUAUUAUUUUUUUCUCUUUCGACGUAUGUUGCGUUAUUUAUAAAUAUAAUCUACAAUAUAGAAAAAAAAUUUAUUAUUCAUUGAUCCCUCCCUAUAGGGGGUUUGAAAAUAAGGUUCGAAUCCCUGACUUUUUGGAAUAAAAUGAUUUAGAUUUAAAAUAAAAUAAACGAAGCGGGUAACGUGCUAUCUUUUAAAAAAAUAAAUAAAUAAAUAGAAUGUAUCAAAUAG